UACGUAGGUGGCAAGCGUUGUCCGGAUUUAUUGGGUUUAAAGGGUGCGUAGGCGGCUUAUUAAGUCAGUGGUGAAAUACUCUAGCUCAACUAGAGGGGUGCCAUUGAUACUGAUGAGCUUGAGUACAGAUGAGGUAGGCGGAAUUGACGGUGUAGCGGUGAAAUGCUUAGAUAUCGUCAAGAACACCUAUAGCGAAGGCAGCUUACUAGGCUGUAACUGACGCUGAGGCACGAAAAGUGUGGGGGAUCAAACAGG
rnacentral:rRNA from 1 species